UUUUUCAGGAAUGCGAGACACACUGAAGAUAUUUUACCCAGUGACUAUGAAAGACUUUUGGGUCAAUUUCCUGCCAAAAGACACGUUGAGUCCUUUAUUGGAAAACGAGAUAGCGAUGACGUCUCAGGGGACAGUGGUCCGAACGAAUCUCAGUUAGAUGACCAAGAAGCACUCCUUGAAAAGCAAGAUGCUCUGAGAGAAUACCUCCAGUACCUUCGUGAUGAAAGAGUUUUCGAAGAAAAAUGAUUAGGUGAAGUAAUUAUACUUUGAUUUCUACUUAACUAAUUCAAGAAACAUCUUCAAUAUCAAAACCAAAUAAAAUACUGUGCUGGUCAUGUUGUGACUUAUUUUAUUCCAACAUAAUAACUGUUGCUUACAUUGCGAAUAUUAUUUAAGAGUUCUUAAAAUUGUCUUUAAAUCAUGAAAAUCCUGGAAUUCCAGAGGCUGCAUAUCUUUUCUAACAAAGAUAUAUUUAAUGACAAGUAAACACCAGGUUCAUUCCAAUUGUACGACGCUUUAUGGAAGGGUAGUAAUAGAGCAAAACUGAUGUGUUUAUUUAUGGAGCACACUUAACUAUUUAGAAGAACGGAGCAGAUAAUCAGUGUCUCCAAAUUUCAAUGUUAAGCAGAUGGAAUGCUGUGUUAAAUGAACCUCAAAUUGUCUAAGAGAAUACCUACAAAAUAAAUUUUUUUUUUCAAAAAGAUUUUCAAAAAAUGUUUUGCAUCCCCACAUCCGAAGGCAAAGUUUAUUUUGAAUGAGAGUAAUGGCCUCUGAAAUUUGGAUCUCUAAUUGCCAAAGGCUCUCUUCUGAUUUAAUGCCUCAGUGAAGGAGAAUGGCCUGUGCUUCUGACACUGGACCUUUUUUUUAUGCUCCUAUUAAGUAUGUGUAGUAUGUAAACUGA